ensembl:lncRNA novel transcript
GUUUACCUUAGCAAGCCUGGGCAAUGGCGGGCGCCCCUCCCCCAGCCUCGCUGCCGCCUUGCAGUUUGAUCUCAGACUGCUGUGCUAGCAAUCAGCAAGACUCCGUGGGCGUAGGACCCUCCAAGCCAGGUGCGAUAUAAUGUCGUGGUGCGCCGUUUUUUAAGCUGGUUGGAAAAGCGCAGUAUUCGCGUGGGAGUGACCCGAUUUUCCAGGUGCGUCCGUCACCCCUUUCUUUGACUAGGAAAGGGAACUCCCUGACCCCUUGCACUUCCCAAGUGAGGCAAUGCCUCGCCCUGCUUCGGCUCGCGCACGGUGCGCGCACCCACUGACCUGUGCCCACUGUCUGGCACUUCCUAGUGAGAUGAACCCGGUACCUCAGAUUGAAAUGCAGAAAUCACCCGUCUUCUGCGUCGCUCACGCUGGGAGCUGUAGACCGGAGCUGUUCCUAUUCGGCCAUCUUGGCUCCUCCCUCAGUUCUGGAGACUGGGACAUCCAAGGUCAAUGUGCUGGCAGAUUCAAUGUCUGACUCUUCAGCCUCUGAUAGAUGAAAUUUUACAGUUUGGACAAGAGAGGAUUUGACAGACAGCCCAGUAAAACAGGACUAUCGGAGCCAAGACUGAGGAAUAUAAUAGCAUUGUGUGUUUGGGCAGACAAAACUUUCUCUUAUAUGCAGUCCUGUCCAGUUCCCCUGCUUCAUCUCAAGCUUUGUAUUAAGAAACAUGAAGAGCUUAUGUGCAUACUUUCUCAUCUCUGUAUCUUUGCAUGUGCUAUCACAUCCAUUUGGAACCCCUCCCAAAACUUCCAAAAUGGGAAAAAGCUUCCUGUUUCCUUUAAAAUUCAACUCAAUGACCACCCCAACUUUAAGUCUAUCUUCCUUUUCUCCUCUGUCCUUUUAUAGUCCCCUAGUAUAGCAUGUUAUUUAAUUUUACAUGUUUUUAACUUAUCUUUUUAUUUGUCAGUAGUGUCUCACACAACUACUAGUACAUGGCAAAUAAUUAAAAUUCUAUUGAAUUAAUUAAA